UGGAAAAGGACAUAACUCGUGUAUAUCCAUGAGACGAUCCUUAGAAGCACAUACCUUAUUUGCUGAUGUGCUUAUGAGUCUGCUGCUGCCACAGAGAAAUACAUUGGGUUUUUUUGUUUGAUUAUUUUCCUUGCUGUAGAAGGUGUCUCAUGGGUUUGGAAACAGGAUGGAAGGUCUUUCAUUAGAAAGAAGGAAACAAACAAAACCACUUCCAUGAAGGGAACGUAUAACCCUUCUUAGCCCCACUGAGUCUAAGGGAAAGCAACCAACAGAAGAUCUUUUAACUUACUGGGUUGGUUUUUUUUGUUUUGUUUUUUUUUUGCUCAUAUGCUCUGAACGUGUAAUCGGUUCUCAUCUGUAAUGAAGGGCUGCAAUGAGC
rnacentral:lncRNA from 1 species